UGGGCGAAACAGUGUCUACCCCGGUGGACUGGGCUCAGCACACCCGUAACUUUACAGAAACGCAGAUUCUCUGUUCCACCCCAGCUGCCUGAAUCGGACACGGGUGGAAUCCAGCAAGAUUCAGUUUAACAAGCAGAAACUUCAAAAAAGGAUGCGCUAGAUUUAAUUGAAAAUGUUAAGAUUGCCCAAAAAAGGAUUACUUAGAGUUGAUCAAGCUCAAGAUGAACAAACCUACCUUGAAAAUUUAGCAGUACAGAGAAAUGCUUCUGCUUUUUUUGAAAAUUAUGAUCAGAGUGAGAUACAAGAGUUAUUAACUACGGCACUAGCCAGGUGGUUGUCUACAAAAGAGGAUGGGUGCUCUCAACUGGAGUUCCCAAGUGGAAUUAUGAGUCAAAUGAACAAUGUCAGUUUCUCCACUGCGAUUCUACUGAUGCCGGUGGACCCUACCACCCUCUUAGACUACAGAGAAGUCCAUCAGAUCAUAAGGGAGUUGGCUGUUGGAAUUUAUUGCUUAAAUCAAAUUCCUUCCACCAGUUUAGAAGCUAAUUAUGAUCAGAGUUCUUCUUGUCAAUUACCUCCAGCUUAUUUUGAUACCAGAAUUGGGCAGAUUCUGAUCCGUAUUGACCACAUGUUGAAAGCACUGUGGCAUGGAGCAUACAUGCCCAAAGAGAAAUGAACCAUGUUCUCCGAAAUGUGGCGUACCAUCUUGGACAUUGAUCCAGACGGGAAGCCUCAAACAAUUAAAGAGAUUUUUGCAGCGUUUAGUUCAGCAGUAGUUCCCUUUCAUGGCCACUGAAGCUUUGCCAUCACAUAAUGCAUUGGUGAAGAGAAUAUGGCAGGAACAAGCUCUUAAAAAUAUGUUAAAUUCCACCCAGAAGUGCUGUCACUGCCAGGAGUAUAGGAACUCCAAGCCUAUUUCAGGGUUGGUUGAUAUUACACAGGAUCCAGACUUUAAUGGAAUCUAUGAUGAAGACAUGAAUGAAGAUCCAACAUAUGAUCCAAAUAGCCCUGAAGAAAAAGCUAGACUACAGCAAAGAUUAUACCUUCAAAAAAAGGUUAUUCAAAAACACUUUGAGAAGAAAAAAGAAAUCAGAAAAGGGAUAGGCUACCUAAAGUUGAUAUGUUUUCUGGUUCCAUUUUUACUAAGUUUGGAAAAAAAGAUGAAAAUUCCAUAUUUAAGUAGCCUGCUUCAGCCUUUUUCAGAUGACAAGGUCAAGACAGAGCGAGAACUGCCUCCGUUUAUUUAUGGACGAGAUUUUAAAUGCCAGAACUUUCACUACAAAGAGAAUCAAUAUUUUCAUGUUCAUGGAGGAAUUGAAUUUGACAUCACCACCCCUUCAAUUGAGAAUGCUUUGGAUGAUUUUAAGGUUUACGUUAUUGUUGUUUCUGAGAUGGUUUGUUGUUUCACAACUCUUUUUCUCCUAUUUUCUAACCAGAAAGAGCUUCUAUCAAUAUAGGCACUAUGCAGGUGUCCAGAGAAUUGUCCUCUCAACUCACUAACUUUUUCAUACUUUACUUUAACAUAAAUGAAUUAAGAAUAACUCUAUGUAAGGAACUGUGUUAGAUGUCAGGGAUAAAGUGAUAAAUAAGCUAGGUACAUACCUCAUCCUCACAGAAUUUACAGCCUUCUAAUAGGUUGUAUUUGUCCUAGAACCAUCAAUCAAAGGGUGUGGUAGAAAAUACUGAACACUCACUAUAAACCUUCCACUCUCCUCAAAGACUAGCACUAGAAAAGA
rnacentral:lncRNA from 1 species